rnacentral:rRNA from 1 species
CGAACGGGUGAGUAACACGUGGGCAAUCUGCCCUUCACUCUGGGACAAGCCCUGGAAACGGGGUCUAAUACCGGAUAACACUCUCUUCCUCCUGGGAGAGGGUUGAAAGCUCCGGCGGUGAAGGAUGAGCCCGCGGCCUAUCAGCUAGUUGGUGGGGUAAUGGCCUACCAAGGCGACGACGGGUAGCCGGCCUGAGAGGGCGACCGGCCACACUGGGACUGAGACACGGCCCAGACUCCUACGGGAGGCAGCAGUGGGGAAUAUUGCACAAUGGGCGAAAGCCUGAUGCAGCGACGCCGCGUGAGGGAUGACGGCCUUCGGGUUGUAAACCUCUUUCAGCAGGGAAGAAGCGAAAGUGACGGUACCUGCAGAAGAAGCGCCGGCUAACUACGUGCCAGCAGCCGCGGUAAUACGUAGGGCGCAAGCGUUGUCCGGAAUUAUUGGGCGUAAAGAGCUCGUAGGCGGCUUGUCACGUCGGUUGUGAAAGCCCGGGGCUUAACCCCGGGUCUGCAGUCGAUACGGGCAGGCUAGAGUGUGGUAGGGGA